GUUCCAGGAUGCAUUUCAUUAGAAGUCUGUCAACGAAAGCCUCAACAUGGGAUGUAUUAAUUCUUCAGAAGAACAGAUGCCUUACUGCCCUGACAGUGACACAAAGGAAAACCAAGUGUCUCCUGUACAGCAAGUUGAGGUUGUGGAGGACAUGCGUCAGUGCAGGAGGCGUGGGUCUUCUACCUCCGGCCAGGUGACAAUGGCAGCUCCAGAGGGUAGCACCGAGGCCACCAAAAGGAUUAAGGCUGCUUCCCCUAUCAAGG